GUGAGGCAUGUUGUGAGAAUAGCAGGAGGCCCUACUCUAGGGGUUUUACCUUGACCAAAAGGCAGGUUAAUGGCUAACCUCGUAAGGGAACUGAUGGGGUUUCCAGGUUACAUACGAGUGCAUGAACUACCAACAACUACAUAUUCAUACUUAUUCGGACGGUCAAAGUAAAGUGGUUAGUCAUAACAUGCUUAGAUGAUAUUUGUAUGUGUAUGAUUGUAUUAUAUGUUUGUCUGAAUUGUAUUACACUAGCUUAUCCUUCUUUUCUGUUUUGCCAUGUUCAACCGUUCGGUUUAUCCUUUGCAAUGAUCAUCCCGU
rnacentral:lncRNA from 1 species